UACGUAGGGUGCAAGCGUUAAUCGGAAUUACUGGGCGUAAAGCGUGCGCAGGCGGUUUUGUAAGUCUGACGUGAAAUCCCCGGGUUCAACCUGGGAAUUGCGUUGGAGACUGCAAGGCUGGAGUCUGGCAGAGGGGGGUAGAAUUCCACGUGUAGCAGUGAAAUGCGUAGAGAUGUGGAGGAACACCGAUGGCGAAGGCAGCCCCCUGGGUCAAGACUGACGCUCAUGCACGAAAGCGUGGGGAGCAAACAGG
rnacentral:rRNA from 1 species